CAGUUGAAGGUGCUGAGCAUGGGGAGAGGAUGGAAGAGUGUGCUUUGCUUGGAGAGGAAGAAUAGGAAAGCUAGGCUCCCUGGGGUGUUGGCAGUUGGGAUCAGUGAUCAACAGGACAGCAGUGCCUAGCUGUAACCCAGACCUGGAUUGCAAGGUAAAGACACAGGGACAUGUUUUAUUCCAAAAGAAGAGAAGAAGCUCCACCAGCUAUGCCAGGCAGCCAGCUUGAUGUCUUGCCCUUGUGUGUCUCCAUCCAUCAUGGGCUCAGAGCAUUAGCUGGAGACUUCACUGGGUAAUCCUUGCAUCUGGCACAAAGUCCUGGGGCUGAGCAGUGUCUAAUGGCACAGGAAGAAAACCAGAUUCAAACUGAAGCUACUAAAUGCUGGGGAAUGCAUCUUGUUAACUUCAUGCUCUGAUGAGGUUUCCUAGCAUGUUCUCACUCAGCUGUUUGCCCAGGCAAUUUUGGGCAGUGUUUCUCAGCCUAUGUAAACCAAAGGGCUAACCAGCCUUAUAAAAACCCCAACAAACCACAACACCAAAAUGCAGUCAUGCUCCAACUUCUGAUCCAGAUCUCAUUUAUCCUGUUGAGUGAUGCUGUGGUACACAGACCUGCCAACACUGACCGUGGGAUCACAGUUUCGGGGGAUAUUCCCUGUACCAGUUUUCCCUAAGAAAUUAUCCAUCAAGACUUGAAAAAUACAUCUGCUCUGGAACCAACCCGUUGCAGUACGUAAACAAGCUGGCUGGAAACAAGCCUGACCACAGGGUUAUUGGGAGCCCAGAUCUUUGGCCAUUUCCCACACUGCAAGCAUCCACCCUCUGUGAGGCAGCUGCAGCCACGCUGUCAAUAGAGGGAUCAGGUAACCACACCAGGAGCAUUUCAACAACCCAUCGCUGUUGAUCUGAGCUUUCCCUCUGAUGAGAUUCAAAUAGGAACCAUCUUUCCACCUGAGAGGAAUGUCAAGCUCUGAUCCAGCCUUAUUUCAAUGCUUUGGUUCUUCUGGAGACUGACAGCAAGCAGUUCCCCUCCUUAAAGUGGGCAUCAGUGAACCUCUGACCCCAAAAGGGGCAAAGGGCAGUGCAUGUUUGCAGAUACAGGUCUGCUCCUCCAACCCUGCUCCUUGUUAGGACCAUGUCUGCCAUGGCUUAUCUCUAGGAAAAAGGAGAGGAUAUGGAAGGAAAAGAGGGAAAGGGAAGCACAAGGUUCACCAGGCAUUGGCUUUGAAAGGGCAGAAAGCCGUGAACUAUCAUGCCAGGACCCUCAGCCACACUGUCACUGUGUACUGAAGUGCAGGAAGGGUGGUGGUGGUGGUGAGCAGGACACUGCACACAAGGAUGGAAUGCUUGGGGGGUUGAAGGGAAGCAAUGUGAGGCACCUUCACCUCCCGAACAUGCAGCAACCAGGCUGUCAGCAGCACCUGCAGAGGGUGCCAUCAGAGUCAAGGGCAGUCCUUCAGAUGCCCUGGUCUAUAGCAGGAUUUAAAGGAUGAGAUCACUGUAGCUAUGUCAAAUGGAGGCUUGUAGUCAGAGCUAUUCUGUUGUAUUCAUGAAGAACAAAACGUCUCCAGAGGACAAUCCUUUCCCCCCAAAGGCAUGUCUCUAAGGUGGGUGAGAUGAGCUGCUUCUGAAGAUCUCUAUCUCUGGAAUUCAGGUCUCCUGAACCCCAGCCAAGCUCUUGCCCCAGUGAGAGCUUUGACUGGUAAGGAUCGGUUCCUAAACUGGGAUGGGGCCACAAGGUGGGGAAGAGGAAAACUGCUGAUUCUGCAAUGAAGAAAAGCAGUAGCUGGUGGGGAUGCAGCUCCCCUCUGUGGCUGUGGAGUAGCCCCCCAGUCACAGGCACGGCAGGACAGCAGCCUGCUGGCCCCUCUAUGGGGUCUUGGCUCUGAGCGACAUGAAGGAGGAGAAGGUGGCUCACUUGGAUCAGGGUCUCGAGGGGGGCCAUAAUGGUGUAAGCAGGAGGAGGCUCAACACUGAAACGCAGCUGGGAGAUUUGAUUUUCACCCCUGUGUCACCCACCGAGCCACCAUCAAAACCGUGUUAAAUCACUUCACUUCUAUCACUCCCCCGACUCUGAUUUGAGUCAAGACCCUGAAGCGUUAGCGUGACACCAGCAGCAUUAACCCAAAGUGAAGUGUUUUGCAGGCUCUCCUUGUGAUUUGCAGCUCCCAAUUGCCUGGGCCACCUGCAAAAUACCUCCAUGAUGUCAAAUUCAGCCCCCAGUGACACCAACCUGCAGUGAGGCUGAGCACUACAGGAACAUCACAAAGGCGCGUUGUUAUGGCAAAGCGUGUUAUUUGCUGUGGGGACAGAGGAAGAAAUGGGGAUGGGGAUGGGAUGGAAGGGAAGGUAUGGGAUGGGGGCAGUGGAGACUGCUGCAUCAGAGACAGGGGUAAGAGCAACAGUUUGCUGUUACAGCAAUGCAGCCUGAAGGUCCCCCAGGCAUGGGGAUAUAGUGACGUGAAGGUGGACAUAAGGAUGCACCUAGCAGGUAGGGAAGGAGCAGGUGAGAAACAACUCCAGCAUAGCCCAAGGGCCCUUUUCUUAAGUGAAAUUCCAACAUGCAGGAAUGUUUACUGCACCUCACAGUCAGGCUCCAGCUUUCCCCCAUCCCCAGAGGAGGCUGUGUAUGGCCCUUUUCAGCCUCCUGCCCUGAAGCCCUUCAGGAAACCUUGCAAAUACAAGUCCUGCACCCAACCAUGUGGCAGUGGCAGAAUCAGGCCCUCCACUCCUUUCCAGACAACUGCAGAAUGGUGUAAAAACACAGAGCGUUGUAAAAACCAAUAACCUUUGAAGCACACCCUCUGAGUAAUUACCCCAUUCCCAUUUAAUGACUUAAAGAUGUUAUAUUCCUCUCUGAUUUGGCAACAACAAAGAUUUCGACCUUAUUAAAACCAGCCCAUCAGGAAACUACAUGUCAUCCUUUUAAAAAAGGAAAAAAAGAGGGAAAAAAAAUUCUUUCAAAUCCCUGUGAACAGUAAUUCAAGAUACUGUAGCUGAAGACCCAUGAUUUGUUGCAGAGUGUCUGGGUGGUCCUGAGGCAGGAGAUGACAACAUUAGCUCUUUCCUUUGCCCUUCUAAGAAAUGCUUUGAUGAUUCUCUAAUAUCCUAAGAAUAUCCCCCUGCGAUUCUGCACUGGGACGAGGCAAUCACAGAGCCGGGAUAAUGCAUCCCAGUUUUACCCAGGGCCUGGCCCUUGCUAAGAUGGGAUAGCUCAGAGCCCUUUGUUUCACCAGUUCUGCACUGACAUCUGAGCCAGGAUGUGUCCAUGAUAGUCUAAAUAGUGAUGUGGGCUCAAAAAC